UUAACAUGAUGGACUAUAGGACAGGACUGCUGCUUUUAACUCUCUGCUGGGCAGGUGUUGAUGGUUGGACUCUGACAGAAUCUGAACCAGUGGUUAAAAGACCUGGAGAAUCCCACACACUGACCUGUACAGUCUCUGGAUUCACAUUCAGCGACUACAGCAUGCACUGGGUCAGACAGGCUCCUGGAAAAGGACUGGAGUGGGUUGCUUACAUCAGAUAUGAUUUUAGUGGCACCACAUUCUACUCUCAGUCAGUCCAAGGCCGGUUUACCAUCUCCAGAGAUGACAGCAGACAGCAGCUGUAUCUGCAGAUGAACAGUCUGAAGACUGAAGAUUCUGCUGUUUAUUAUUGUGCUCGAGAGUCACAGUGA